rnacentral:rRNA from 1 species
AGCUUAAUGAAUGAUAUUAAGUUUUUUCUGCCCAAUGGGCUCUAAAUGGCCGCAGUACCCUGACUGUGCAAAGGUAGCAUAAUCAAUAGGCUUUUAAAUGGGGUCUGGAAUGAAAGAAUAUAUGGGGAAAUACUGUCUAUCUUUAAUAUUUUGAAAUUGCUAAAUAGGUGAAAAUACCUAUAUAAUUAUAAAAGACGAGAAGACCCUAGAAAUUUUCUAUAAAGUAUAUAUAUAAAUACUAUUAUUUUGUUGGGGCGACAGAAUAACAGCUAACUUAUUUUUAAUUUAUUAGAAUUUUUUAUAAUGAGAAAUUAAAUUACUCUAGGGAUAACAGCAUAAUUAUUCUAUAGUUUGUGACCUCGAUGUUGGAUUAAGGAGGGUUUUACUCAGAAGGUAAAACACCAUGUUCUGUUCGAACAAAUAUCCUUACAUG